rnacentral:lncRNA from 1 species
UUUGUUCAUAUUUGUAUUUUCGAUCCAUCUCUUCUUGAGUAGUUUGAAUUCAUUUUCCUAUCAAAUGAGAGAUCAGAGAGAUGAUCACAUGGUGGUUAAUGCAGAAAAAUAUUAUGGAAGCUGAUGAAUCUAAAAAGUGAUUUAAUAUUCAAAAUUACAAACGAUAAAACAUUUAUUUUUUUUCACAAAAUCGAUGAAAUUAUUUAACCACACGCCAUUUAAAUUCUUGAAACACUUGAGGAUAAUCUUCUUUGUGGAGUCCCUCAUCAAAAUUCUGCGAAUAACUAACUGCAUCAUACUGAAAUUUCACAGGUUUUGAAGGUGCAUAUAUACUCUUGCUUUCAUUAACAAUCUUUCUGAGGAAAUUUCUCAAUCUUCUGCUUCUGUUGUUUCCAUGGCUAAUGUGAAUUCUAGAGUAUUGUUCAUGAACCGGAAUACAUGAAGGCGACAUGCAGCCUGAGAAAUACGAAAGCCGGCGGCGGUUGGUAUCACCUUCCAUUUUUUUUGCAGCAGAUAAGAGGCUAAGAUUGAAGGGAGUUUAAUCUUUGAUAAGGAGAAGAUCUGUGUGUUUUCUAGUGGUUUGCUUAUAUUUG